CCCUUAGAUGUUCUGGGCUGCACGCGCGCUACACUGAAGCGUUCAACGAGUAUUCACCUUGCCCGGGAGGGUUGGGUAAUCUUUUGAAAACGCUUCGUGAUUGGGAUAGGCACUUGUAAUUAUUUGCCUUGAACGAGGAAUACCUAGUAAGUGCGAGUCAUCAGCUUGCGCUGACUACGUCCCUGCCCCUUGUACACACCGCCCGUCGCUGCCCGGAACUGAGCCGUUUCGAGAAAGCCGGGGACCGACGACUUGUGGGUGCGCAAGCACUUCUAGUCGAUGGAAACCAGUUUAAUCGGUAUGGCUUGAACCGGGCAAAAGUCGUAACA
rnacentral:rRNA from 1 species